CUAUUUCUCUCUCGAAUUCGUUGUAAGCUGUCGUCUGCGCAUCUGGAGAUUCUUGGGUGUGUGGCUGAUUUGGGCGAAGAGAAGGAGGGUGAUUUUGGAGGAAACGGGAGAGGAGUUUCUACAUGACUGAACGGAAUAAGGCUUGAAGCUUUACAAACAUUGCAGCCUGGGAGGAGAGGAGCUCUUGCUUGCUUGAAAGAAAAGAAGUGGAAGAAUUGAUCAAUUGUGUUUGCUUGAUGUGUCUGCGGUUCAAUCAAUUGUGGUUGUGAUUCCUGCAGUUAGUGCUUCUAAGGCUGUGUAAUUCUUUGUACUUGACAGCCUAUAGGAGACUUGAUUGAUUUUGUGUGCAAGUUCAGUUGGUGCAACAGUAACAUUCAAGUUGGUUGCCUAUAAUUGACAUUCCAAAAGCAGGUGAAGCUGUGAAAAAUAGAAGUGGAUAAUGUGAG